rnacentral:rRNA from 1 species
UACAGAGGUCUCAAGCGUUGUUCGGAUUCACUGGGCGUAAAGGGUGCGCAGGCGGCCAAGUGUGUCAGAUGUGAAAUCCCGAGGCUCAACCUCGGAACUGCGUCUGAAACUACUUGGCUAGAGUACUGGAGAGGGUAACGGAAUUCACGGUGUAGCAGUGAAAUGCGUAGAUAUCGUGAGGAACACCAGAGGCGAAGGCGGUUACCUGGACAGUUACUGACGCUCAGGCACGAAAGCGUGGGGAGCAAAAGGG